rnacentral:lncRNA from 1 species
CGCUUUCGGAGGCGGAGGCCACGACCAAUCCGCAGAGGUCUUGGUGGAAGUCGGUGUGACGAUAUCAAGGGGCGGGGCCGAAGCAGCCCAGGGGGCGGGUGUUUGAAAUCAGUGCCUUAGAGUAGACCCUAAAUAUCAUUUUAUACCUUGGAGAACCAAUUACUUAAUGUCUCUUCCGUCUUUUCCUUUCCCGACCCCCUCCCAGACUCCUCCAUUCCGGUUCUGCGUGGAUGGGAAGCCCCGGGUAGCCGACACCACGUCCCCGGCUAGGAUUACACCAAACUGUUUAAAUUCAACGGCUCCUGCUUCCAUCCUUUCUCCUGAGGUAGACCCAACAAGCCUAGGGAGUUGGGCUACGGAAAAACUAGUUUUCAUUUAAUUGGAUAUGAAGAAAGAACAAAUAUGUUACGGGGGCAACCACGAUCUUUAUAAAGAACAUAAGUUCCAGGAAAGCAGGAACCUUGUCUCUUGUUCACUGGUGUAUCCUCUGCAUAUAGAACAGUGCCUGGCACAAAAUAGGUGCUGAUAUGUAGUGGUAUGUCAUUGAAAAGGCAGGUGUGGUGGUGCAUACCUGUAAUCCCAGCACUUGUGAGGCUGAGACACGAGAAUCACUAUACCACUAUUACUGCCCUACUAUCCACGCAACAGAUGAAAGUAAAUAGAGGUGACUCAAAUGAGAUUUUGUUUUAGAUACUUCCAUGAAGACACACUUGUAUAUCUGAGUCAUCCACCCAGGUCUGGGUAAUUCAGUAGAACUCAAGAGGACAGAACCAGGUACCAACUGAGGAAAAUAAUAGAGUUGCAGGCUGAGUGACCAUUGGCAUCUAGGCAAACCUGCUUCCUGGACAAUACUCAUCAGUCAAGAAGCCCAAGAAAGAUUAUUAUUUCAUGUGCAAAAAGUUGACUGGUAGAUCCUGUUGCCUCAUACCUACAGCAACUCAAAAUUAAAAAGUAGAAUUUUCCUGCAUCCUCAACUACCUAGAACAUAUCUAAAAACUGGGAGGUUGCUUUCCAUUAAUUUGAAACUAUGAAGUCUAAGAACAGAUGUGCUGAGAAUCCAAGCUGUAACAUAAUGAUAUUUCAUCCAACCAAAGAAGAGUUUAAUGAUUUUGAUAAAUAUAUUACUUACA